rnacentral:lncRNA from 1 species
GCUGUCCUCUGUCACAAGGAGUGGGCAUGGUGUGGGUGCAGCAAGAGGUGUGUAUGCACACGUGUCAGCGUGUGCAUGUGCUAAGACUGCGUGUGAAGCAUGUGUGAAUGGAGCGGGGGUGUGUGGGACUGACUGUUUUGUGGACUGGCCACUCUGACUGGCGCCUGUGCCUUUACCAGGCAGGCUUAGGCUGUUCUGUGGCUAGUUCCACUUUUUAGGACCCCACAUCUAGAUCCCCCUCACUGGGGGUCUGACAUCUGGGCACAACCAUUGCUGGCUGGCAUCCCACAACUGGGGGCUUGACUGUAUCUAUCGUUUGCUAUUUGCUCAUUCCUGGUCUAUAUUGUGAGCCUCCUUAGGAGUAUGGGGUGUCCUUGGUCAGGUCCGUGCAGGGUUCAGGCUGGGGCUGCUGCCCGCACUGUGUGUGCUUCUGCACCCUUUGGUUCGUCUCUCACUCUAGUAAGCAUCUCUGCAUCAUUUGGAGCAGGCAGUGAGGUGCGGCAGUGCCUG